rnacentral:rRNA from 1 species
GACGUAGGGCGCGAGCGUUGUCCGGAUUUAUUGGGCGUAAAGAGCUCGUAGGCGGCUUGUCGCGUCGUCCGUGAAAACCCACAGCUCAACUGUGGGCUUGCGGUCGAUACGGGCAGGCUAGAGUUCGGUAGGGGAGACUGGAAUUCCUGGUGUAGCGGUGAAAUGCGCAGAUAUCAGGAGGAACACCGGUGGCGAAGGCGGGCCUCUGGGCCGAUACUGACGCUGAGGAGCGAAAGCGUGGGGAGCGAACAGG